CCUACGGGUGGCAGCAGUAGGGAAUCUUGCGCAAUGGGCGAAAGCCUGACGCAGCAACGCCGCGUGAUCGAGACGCCCUUCGGGGUGUAAAGAUCUGUCAGUGGGGACGAAACUUGACGGUACCCACAGAGGAAGCACCGGCUAACUCCGUGCCAGCAGCCGCGGUAAUACGUAGGGGGCAAGCGUUAUCCGGAUUUACUGGGUGUAAAGGGGGCGCAGACGGCGAUGCAAGCCAGGAGUGAAAGCCCGGGGCCCAACCCCGGGACUGCUCUUGGAACUGCGUAGCUGGAGUGCAGGAGGGGCAGGCGGAAUUCCUGGUGUAGCGGUGAAAUGCGUAGAUAUCAGGAGGAACACCGGUGGCGAAGGCGGCCUGCUGGACUGCAACUGACGUUGAGGCCCGAAAGCGUGGGGAGCAAACAGGAUUAGAUACCCUUGUAGUC
rnacentral:rRNA from 1 species